rnacentral:lncRNA from 10 species
CCCCCUCAGACUCUGCUCAGGAAAGUUUGUGCUCAGUCAAAAUUACUACAAAGUUCAGCUAGGACCUAUAUUUGCCCUGUGGCCCCUCCCCAAUUCUGCUGGCCACCUUCCCUUCCAGAAGGACCUCUGUGAGAUAAGGCCAGAAUGACUUUCCUGGGGCUCAAGCUGAGAACCGGGAGGGUCCUGAUGCUUCUUCUACUUUUAUAUUUUGCUUGGCUGCCUAAAUCCAUUUCAGCUCUAGGCUUUGGGAAAGGCCUGUUUCCUGGCACUAAAAGUAGCCAGUCUUGGCGUGAACAGCCCUUGACAAUUCCCAGCAUAUGGUAAGAGAAGACGCUUCUGCCCACCCAUCAGGCAUGGAAAGGAGCAAUAAUACACGCAACACUGAACAGGACCAUGCCCUCUUCUAAAUGACAUUAUGGACUUCCCGACACUUGAAAAUGGUAUCUUUGCCUCCUCUGUCUCCUUCUCUUCUGAUUAAAUACCCUGAAUUCCUUUUGUAUGAAUUUGUUUGAUUGAAGAUUUUUGUCCAUGUUCAAUGUAAUUCCAGUAGAGUAAUUUGGAAUGGCUCCUUCAUCAUCAGCAGAAAUAAACACUAAAUUCACUCUACU